rnacentral:lncRNA from 1 species
CAGUUCAGAAGAUUAUACUAAUCAGAGAGUACAUCUAUAUGAUUUUUGUAAAUUUUGGUGUAACAAACUCAUAAUCAAUUGAGAUGAUGUACAAUUGUACCUGGAGAUAAAUAACUUGUAAGAAUCUGUCAUAGGUGUAAUUGAUAAUUAAACAGUUGUCCUGUGAUGCAAGUAGAUUUUGCUCCAGCCUUUAAAUGACCAAAUGAUUAAUGAUACUGCAUAGCU